rnacentral:rRNA from 1 species
CCUACGGGAGGCAGCAGUGGGGAAUAUUGGACAAUGGGCGAAAGCCUGAUCCAGCCAUGCCGCGUGUGUGAAGAAGGCCUUCGGGUUGUAAAGCACUUUCAGUGGGGAAGAAAGCCUUGGGGCUAAUACCCUCGAGGAAGGACAUCACCCACAGAAGAAGCACCGGCUAACUCCGUGCCAGCAGCCGCGGUAAUACGGAGUGUGCGAGCGUUAAUCGGAAUUACUGGGCGUAAAGCGCGCGUAGGCGGUCUGAUAAGCCGGUUGUGAAAGCCCCGGGCUCAACCUGGGAACGGCAUCCGGAACUGUCAGGCUAGAGUGCAGGAGAGGAAGGUAGAAUUCCCGGUGUAGCGGUGAAAUGCGUAGAGAUCGGGAGGAAUACCAGUGGCGAAGGCGGCCUUCUGGACUGACACUGACGCUGAGGUGCGAAAGCGUGGGUAGCAAACAGGAUUAGAUACCCCUGUAGUC